rnacentral:rRNA from 1 species
GACGAACGCUGGCGGCGUGCUUAACACAUGCAAGUCGAACGGAAAGGCCCUGCUUCUGGGGGGUGCUCGAGUGGCGGACGGGCGAGUAAGACGCGAGUAACCUGCCUUUGACUUUGGGAUAACUUCAGGUAGGUGGGGCUAAUACAGGACAGGAAAUCCCGCUGCAUGGUGGGGGGUGGAAAGUUUCGGCGGUUGGGGAUGGACUCGCGGCUUAUCAGCUGUGCGGUGGGGUAGUGGCGUACCAAGGCUCUGACGGGUAGACGGCCUGUGGGGGUGGCCAGCCACCUUGGGCCUGCGGUACGGCCCAGACUCCUACGGGACGCAGCAGUGGGGAGUAUUACACAAUGGGGCGAAGCCUGAUGCAGCAAAGCCGCGUGCGGGAUGACGGCCUUCGGGUUGUAAACCGCUUUCGACUGUGACGACGCGUUAGUGACGGUAAUGGGUCAAGAAGCACCGGCUAACUACGUG